rnacentral:tRNA from 1 species
GUCGGGAUAGCUCAGCUGGUAGAGNCAGAGGA